AUGGCCACCAAGGGCUACCAGGCUCAAGCUCUGGCGAUGCCCGCGGCGGGAGAGCGCGCCGGUUCCGGCGGCGGCAAAAAGGCGCCGACGGGGAGCACGUCGCUGCCGAGGCGUGGCCAGAUCAAGGGGAAGAUCAUCAAGGAUGCGGUCGCCGUGGUCGCCAGCCUUGCCGCGGGGCUCGUCCGCGCCGACAAUAACGGGGCCGGCGGCGGCGGUCUUCCGGCCGCCGGCGACGCCCACGCCAAUUUCUGCGUCUUGAGCUGGGUCCGUCUCGUUGAUCUUCUUGCUGCUGCUGGUUGGUGGGUGAAGCCUCAGCUGCUAGCAUCUCGGGAGAUUGCGAAUGUUUUAAAGUGCAACCUCCUCAUAUGUUUGCCGCUGCGUCCUCAUCUCCUCCUCGAGCAGGUCUGGUCGAUCGUAGGUCUUUUCUUCAGGUUGUGUGCUGCUGCUUGCUUGGGUUUGGGUGUGUGCUCGUGUAUGGGAGUAUGCAAGUGCACCUAUAAUGGAAAGCGUUCCUACCGGUUGCGCUCAAGUCUUGAUCCAUCUCCCACAGACCUCGCUUGUCCAAGUCAAGUCUCCGCCCGCAAUCAACUUGCUGCCGAUGCCAAAAUCCCCUCUGGUUUGAACGCCUCGCGCAAAGCUUCCCUGAAAGCAACCACCAAGCGGUAUCUCGAGUGGCCAGCGACUGAGGAAGCCGGCUGGUUCUGCCGCUGGGAAGGGGCUUUGGUGGGAGGGAGGCAGAGCUCUGGGGGGCAUGUGCCCUCCCGCCACCAUGCCCCCUCUAGUGGCCCCCCACCGAUCUAUGGUUCAGGGGCGAGCUUAUACGGAGCAGGCGACCGAGGGAGGAGAGGGGCUCGAAGGAAGGAAUGGGAUGACCAAGAGGGAGACGAAGGGGAGGAGAGGGAGGUGGGUCGGGAGAGAUUACCUGCGCCGCUGAUAGGUUUCGUUCCGAUGCCAGGAGAGGAGGAAGCGACGUCGUAG
rnacentral:rRNA from 1 species